CCCUUAGAUGUUCUGGGCCGCACGCGCGCUACACUGAUGCAUUCAACGAGUCUAAAACCUGCUCUGAUAGGGGUGGGUAAUCUUUUGAAUGUGCAUCGUGAUUGGGAUAGAUGAUUGCAAUUUUUCAUCUUCAACGAGGAAUGCCUAGUAAACGCAAGUCAUCAGCUUGCAUUGAUUACGUCCCUGCCCUUUGUACACACCGCCCGUUGCUCCUACCGAUUGAAUGAUCCGAUGAAUAUCAUGGAUUGAGGAUGCAAGUAGGUUAGCCUAUCUUCAUCUUCGAGAAGUGAAGUAAAUCUUAUCAUUUAGAGGAAGGAGAAGUCGUAACA
rnacentral:rRNA from 1 species